CCCAUGCAUACCUGAGGCCUUCUAAGGCUUUCAUUUCAGAGCUAUUUUCUUCGAGGGCAGAGUGAUUAGAUGAACACAGAAUUUACUGAGGGUCAGCAGUGAAGUGUUUAUUGUCUAACAGGAGCUUGAGCGUGGAAUUUGGCUCUUACAGAUGAAGAGUAGAAGGCAGGAGGAAAGAAAAAAAACAACUUUGGGUUUAGGGAUAUGGACUGUCCUGUGUCCUUCAUGGCAGCACUCAACUGAAUGAGGACUUGGACCAGUGUCACUCAUGGGCACUAAGGUCUGGAUCCGUCACUGCUGGUGGAAAGCCAAACAGCACAUGGACCUGGCAAUGAUAGCCCUAAGAACAGGUUUAAACAGGCGUUUGGGAAGAUGCAGAAAAGGACAGUAAGUGUGAUGAAUAAAGGUGAGUAUUAUUUUUAUUUUCACAACCCUGAUCUUUGCUGGUAAGUGCUCUUUUGUCUGAAUUACUUGAUCAAUAGAACAGCUACCCGAAGGGCAUUUGCUCAAAUUUAAAGUUGCCAUGAAAAUGGAAGAAAGGAAAAGCAGAUUCUUGAGAUCAAUUUUUAAGACUUGGAGAAUGGUUUAUUUGUUUGUAUUCCUACACAGUUUAGGAGCAGAUAUUCAAAGACUCCUGCUGGUGUUGCUGAGUUUCAGUUCCACCUACCUGUUGCUUGCACAAACCUCAUUUCUGCAGCAAAGUUAACAUAGGAUAGAUAAAGGAUAAUAAAUCCAGUUUAUCUGCCCAAACAAAGGCUCCUGAGCUGAGGGGGGGAAACUGUGGAUGUCCUUCUCCUGGGGUCUUGGGACAGGGACGCCAGAGGAAUGCAAUUCUGUCACUGCAUCGCAGUGAAUCUGGAGCUGCAGCCAGCCUGGUGAUGGCCCUGCUGGGCUAUGCGUGCUGAGGUUUGGCCCCAAGAGCAGAAGCUGUGCCUUUAGAACCACACAUCUGUACCAUGCUUGCAGGGAGGUGGCAGGGCAGCCAACGGAUGGCCCCUGUGUGCCUUCCUGCUUGUAUCUUCUGUGUUCUCAGCAGAAAUGGGGGGGAAAAAAAAACAACAAAACUGUUUCCCUAUUUAUAACAAGGGUAAAGCAAGAGUUUGAGGAGAACUAAAAGAGAAGACUCCUUCAAAUUCUUUACUGCUGGAAAAUUGAAGAACCCACUUAGAGUAAGACAAUGAACUGGGAACGUUUGACAGGCUACAACCAGUCUGCAGGGGAACUUCCACAUGGCUGCAUCUGUGUUUGUUUGCUGAAAGCUGUUUCAUUCUUCAGUUUGCUUUUUUAUUUAAGAUCAAGUGCUAGAUUUCAAGCAGCAAUAAAUCACGUUUAGCACGAGUUUCCAAAACUUGAAUUUCAUUGCAGUGUUUCUAGAAAUGUCCGCUACCCCUAUAAUGCAAGAAUGAUUGAAAUAUAUUUUCAGAAUAGCUCAUUUUCAUCAAAACCAGCAGCUCUGUUGUCUUCUAUGGAUAAAACUUCAUCCCAGGUAGCAAUUUGGGAUAGAAACUACCUGUGCAGAGGAUGCUGCUAAAGCUCUACCAGCCCAGGAUGGAAGGUGCUGGACAAUUGCUGUCAAGACCCAUAGCUGAUGCUAAACGCAAUCUUGGGUACUGCCAUGUGCACCUUCUGCAGGGCAAGUUUACAUCCUUACAAGUGUCAGUCACAGCAAGUCAUGUUGUAUGUGAAAGACUGACAGA